rnacentral:misc_RNA from 1 species
GAUGAAGAACGUAGCGAAAUGCGAUAAGUAAUGUGAAUUGCAGAACUCAGUGAAUCAUCGAAUCUUUGAACGCACAUUGCGCCCCCUGGCAUUCCGGGGGGCAUGCCUGUUCGAGCGUCAUUACAACCCUCAAGCUCUGCUUGGUAUUGGGCUCUGCUGGGACCGGCAGGCCUUAAAAUCAGUGGCGGCGCCACUCGGCUUCAAGCGUAGUAAUUCUUCUCGCUUCGGAGACCCGGGUGCGUGCUAGCCAGCAACCCCCAACUUUCUUAGGUUGACCUCGGAUCAGGUAGGGAUACCCGCUGAACUUAAGCAUAUCAAUAAGAGGAGGA